UACGUAGGGAGCAAGCGUUGUUCGGAUUUAUUGGGCGUAAAGAGCUCGUAGGCGGUUUGUCGCGUCGGAUGUGAAAGCCCGGGGCUUAACCCCGGGUCUGCAUUCGAUACGGGCAGACUAGAGUGUGGUAGGGGAGAUCGGAAUUCCUGGUGUAGCGGUGAAAUGCGCAGAUAUCAGGAGGAACACCGGUGGCGAAGGCGGAUCUCUGGGCCAUUACUGACGCUGAGGAGCGAAAGCGUGGGGAGCGAACAGG
rnacentral:rRNA from 1 species